UACGGAGGGUGCGAGCGUUAAUCGGAAUUACUGGGCGUAAAGCGCGCGUAGGCGGUUCGAUAAGUCAGAUGUGAAAUCCCCGGGCUCAACCUGGGAAUGGCAUUUGAUACUGUCAGACUAGAGUGUGGUAGAGGGAAGUGGAAUUCCGCAUGUAGCGGUGAAAUGCGUAGAUAUGCGGAGGAACACCAGUGGCGAAAGCGGCUUCCUGGACCAUCACUGACGCUGAGGUGCUAAAGCGUGGGGAGCAAACAGG
rnacentral:rRNA from 1 species